CAGUCGCCACGGUAAUACGGAGGGUGCAAGCGUUAAUCGGAAUUACUGGGCGUAAAGCGCACGCAGGCGGUCUGUUAAGUCAGAUGUGAAAUCCCCGGGCUUAACCUGGGAACUGCAUUUGAAACUGGCAGGCUUGAGUCUUGUAGAGGGGGGUAGAAUUCCAGGUGUAGCGGUGAAAUGCGUAGAGAUCUGGAGGAAUACCGGUGGCGAAGGCGGCCCCCUGGACAAAGACUGACGCUCAGGUGCGAAAGCGUGGGGAGCAAACAGGAUUAGAUACCCCGGUAGUCCCUGUCUCUUAUAC
rnacentral:rRNA from 1 species